rnacentral:rRNA from 1 species
AGCGAACGCUGGCGGCAGGCUUAACACAUGCAAGUCGAGCGGGCACUUUCGGGUGUCCGCGGCGGACGGGUGAGUAACGCGUGGGAACGUGCCCUCUGGUUCGGAAUAACUCAGGGAAACUUGAGCUAAUACCGGAUACGCCCUUUUGGGGAAAGGCUUGCUGCCGGAGGAUCGGCCCGCGUCUGAUUAGCUAGUUGGUGAGGUAACGGCUCACCAAGGCGACGAUCAGUAGCUGGUCUGAGAGGAUGAUCAGCCACACUGGGACUGAGACACGGCCGAGACUCCUACGGGAGGCAGCAGUGGGGAAUAUUGGACAAUGGGCGCAAGCCUGAUCCAGCCAUGCCGCGUGAGUGAUCAAGGCCUUAGGGUUGUAAAGCUCUUUUAUCCGGGACGAUAAUGACGGUACCGGAGGAAUAAGCCCCGGCUAACUUCGUG